CGUGAGUAACCUGCCUUGGAGUGGGGAAGUAACAGUUGGAAACAGCUGCUAAUACCGCAUAAUAUGUCUGUGUCGCAUGGCACUGGACAUCAAAGGUUUAUCGCUCUGAGAUGGACUCGCGUCUGAUUAGCUGGUUGGCGGGGUAACGGCCCACCAAGGCGACGAUCAGUAGCCGGACUGAGAGGUUGGCCGGCCACAUUGGGACUGAGACACGGCCCAGACUCCUACGGGAGGCAGCAG
rnacentral:rRNA from 1 species